rnacentral:lncRNA from 13 species
AUGGAGGCUAUAUACAGUAAAGAGACAAAAUGGAGGCUAUGUACAGUAAAGAGACAAAAUGGAGGCUAUAAACAGAAAAGAGACAAUAUGGAGGCUAUAUACAGUAAAGAGACAAAAUGGAGGCUAUAUACAGUAAAGAGANNNNNNNNNNCCCUCUCUCUCUCUCUCUCACCCUCUCUCUCUCUCUCUCUCUAUCUCUCUACAGUGGAGAGGGUGAAGAAGGAGGCAGCAGAACAGGCUCGGAGAGCGGCAGAAGAGCAGAUUCAGAUUCAGCAACAGCUGAUGGAAAAGAUUGAGAAAGAACGAGAGAUCACCAAACAGGAAUAUAAACAAGUGCUGGAGGCCAGACUUACGGAGCUGAAGGACCUAACGGAAGAAGGCUUUAAGGAAAUAGGAGAAUACAUGGAGAAAAACAAAAACGCCAUUCAAAGUAACGAUAAUCCAACUCCUCAAAAUAAUGUCUCCAAAAUGUUGGAUGGAGUUGGGACUAUUUGUUCCUUUGUUCCUGGCGUUGGCACUGCGAUUGGGGGCGGUCUUAUCGCCAGUGCCAAAGCUUUAGACUACGCUUCAGAACUCGUAAAGUAACUGACAGAUUUUUAUAAAAUGUGACCGAUUAUUAAUAAAAAUAUGAGGGAAAUAUUUUCCUUAAAAAAAAAAAAAAGAAAAGGUAAUUAGGUUUUGUUUUCUGUGUUGGAAUGGUGUGGGUCUGUACAGAAACAGAAGGGUGUGAGUGUAUACCAGUCAUUACAUAUAUUCAUGCAAGUAGACCACUGAUUGGCCAGCUUUGCCAAUGAUGUAGGAUGGCAUCAUUCUCUAUGAGGAAAUAGAGCACAUUUUUUUUAAACUGUAUGUUUGAGAUACAAAGUUUGACGUUGUUGAAAAAUUAUAUAAAAAACAAUUCCGAGUAUUGGAAGAGUCAACAACAGUAUUUCGGUAUGAGGUAAAAUAAUAUGUACGAUUUACACUGGACAGUUACUUUAAAGGGGCAACAGCCCAAAUGCAUACUGUACUUUGUAAUGGAAACAAAUAAGCGGCACUUGGCUAGCUGAAGGCCAGCUGAAGGCCAGCUGAAGGCCAGCUGAAGGCCAGGCACCUCAGGCUGUUCUUGGCUAGCUGAAGGCCAGCUGAAGGCCAGGCACCUCAGGCUGUUCUUGGCUAGCUGAAGGCCAGCUGAAUGCCAGGCACCUCAGGCUGUUCUUGGCUAGCUGAAGGCCAGGCACCUCAGGCUGUUCUUGGCUAGCUGAAGGCCAGGCACCUCAGGCUGUUCUUGGCCAGCUGAAGGCCAGGCACCUCANNNNNNNNNNAGGCUGUUCUUGGCUAGCUGAAGGCAAGCUGAAGGCCAGGC